GUGUCUGUGUGUGUGUGUGUCUGUGUGUGUGUGUCUGUGUGUGUGUGUCUCUGUGUGCGUGCGACCGCGCGCGUGUGUGUGUGUGUGUCUGUGUGUGCGCGUCUGUGUGUGUGGAGUGCGAGUCAGGGGUGUCCGUGUGUGAGGCGCCAGCCAUCUUCCCCUCCCUACACGUUGAUCUUAUUCGAUCGGCCGGGCCUCGCCGGGCCGAGGUGAGAAGAAAGUGCCGCGAAGCCCUCGGGCGCUGUGCGGCUGGGCCGGGCGGGAUGAGUCGAUCAGAUAGGCGAGGCCACGGCCGCUGAGCGCCCUGCGAUUCUGACCCGC
rnacentral:snoRNA from 1 species